AGAGAAGAACUCCACUUUCAGAUCGUGAAGCAGGUCGUCUUCAUUCACAGAGACCGACUGAUCACAGAAAGAUGAAUGCUCUUCUGAUCACUGUCCUUGUCCUGGUGGUUGGAGGGGACGCAGCCUCCAAUCUUUCUCCUUGUAGCAGGAUUUCUGAUGAAAAGAUCUAUGAAAGAUUUAUUCAAAACCACGUUCUGCAGGAGCAUUUUGACACUUCCUCAGAUGUUCAAUGGAAAUCUUACCUGCAAAGAAACAAACUCUGUCGCAGACGUACGCAGUCCUUCGUUGAUGUAGGAGAUGAACGUCUUUAUGUGAACAUCUGCAACGGCAAAGGGAUGGUUAAAGAGAUGAACUUGUGCACCAGUAAAAAGAAAGUUUGGCUGCAUGAUCUCAAUGUCAAUACAGAUGAUUGCAGCGUUACUCAUCUUAGCCAAUAUAGAUAUGUGACUGUCGCUUGUGACAUAGUCAACAAUCUCUGCCUUCCUGUUCACUUUGAAAGCAGCCAAGACAGUGGGCCAAACGGCAACGCUCAAACCUGCAGGUCAUAAACUAAUCUGUGGUUUGACUUUGGAAACCAGAGUCUUCCAGGUUUGGCAAAAAUGCUGUUUUGCUUUGCUGCAUCUCUCCAUAUCCAGCUUUAGUUCAGCCUUUAAAUGCUUUGAGUUACGUUUAGAUGAGUUUAUUUUAGAAAUACACCAGAGAAAUCACACAAUCAAUGAAAGACAGUGUGCAAUUUAGUUUUUAAUAUUUCAGCGGUGAGAACCUUUGUUGGUGGUUUGAUUUUGAGACCUGAGAACUCAAAAACUAAUUUGUUUUGUAAAACAUCUGGGAGUUUUGGUUGUAAUCUUGAAUUGAGAAGUUAUUCUUUCUUACCUAAUUAGAGUUGCCAUUAAAUUAUUAGUCCAUUUGUCCAGAGCAUCAAGUUACCAUGACAUCCAGCUAUUUACGUGGGACAACAGAAAUGUGACUUAAAUUUAUCUACGUCUCUGAAUCACAUAGAUUCUAUACAUGGGAAAUACUUGAUAUACUUUUGCAUCCCUGAUAAAUAUAUAUGAAGUAACAAUCAUAACAAUAAAGUUUUAUAUUUUACAGCCAAAUAAUGAAAUGUUUUCUAAGUGCUGUGAACAACUUUUUGUGUUUAAAUGAUUGUUUUGCUAAAGAUGUUUCCAAAGCUGUGCAGCAUGUUGCUUUGU